AUUGAACGCUGGCGGCAUGCUUUACACAUGCAAGUCGAACGGUAACAGCACUUCGGUGGCUGACGAGUGGCGAACGGGUGAGUAAUACAUCGGAACGUGCCUAGUAGUGGGGGAUAACUACUCGAAAGGGUAGCUAAUACCGCAUGAGAUCUAAGGAUGAAAGCAGGGGACCUUCGGGCCUUGCGCUACUAGAGCGGCUGAUGGCAGAUUAGGUAGUUGGUGGGAUAAAAGCUUACCAAGCCGACGAUCUGUAGCUGGUCUGAGAGGACGACCAGCCACACUGGGACUGAGACACGGCCCAGACUCCUACGGGAGGCAGCAGUGGGGAAUUUUGGACAAUGGGCGCAAGCCUGAUCCAGCAAUGCCGCGUGCAGGAUGAAGGCCUUCGGGUUGUAAACUGCUUUUGUACGGAACGAAAAGCCCUCUUCUAAUACAGGAGGGUCAUGACGGUACCGUAAGAAUAAGCACCGGCUAACUACGUG
rnacentral:rRNA from 1 species